GCCUGGGUGGCUCGGUCGGUUAAGCGUCCGACUUCGGCUCAGGUCACCAUCUCAUGGUUCGUGGGUUCAAGCCCUGCUUCAGGCU
rnacentral:tRNA from 1 species